UCUUAAACAAGUCUAAAAUUAUUUUUAAAAUAAAACACUAAUUAUCCACUCCAAUCAUUUCUUUCAACCGGAGAUUGGAAGUAGAAAUUAAGUUUGCAACCUUAAUCCAUAAGUCUACCCCUUGCUAACUAGCCCAAAUUUAUUUAUGAACAUCAGCAAAGCAGAGCAUAAUACAAUACCCACUACAUUAAAUCAACACCAACCC
rnacentral:lncRNA from 1 species